rnacentral:lncRNA from 1 species
CAAUGCUGGCUUGUGAAAUCUCCCUUUCUAUAUUUUCCUUGCUUUUGCCACUAUUAGCUUUCUUGUUUGUUUGUUUGUUUGUUUGUUCCUAGUGAUGGAACAAAUAUAAUGCCUUGAAAGGCAAUCAGAAAUAAUUUCUGAGGUAUCUGCUGUUUUGCAUCCUCCCAGCCUCCGUGCCCCUCCACUGGUGUGGACCAUCAAUGGCCAGUUGUUUCUCUGUGGGGUGUAUGUGUGACUGGAACCCCCUGUAAUUACCCUUUCCACAGCCUCUGCCCCCAAGCAGUGUGGCUUCUUGGGUUACUGAAGGCCUCACAACAAACCUGACUUUGUUCUUUUAGCUAUCUUCUCUCAAUGCCAUCUCAUUAAAGUACUUUGCCAGUGAAAACAGCCCUGACAAAUGUCUUUCCACUUGUAACCUGGCCUGAAACUGCCUAACUUUUCUUGAUGAAUGGGCUAAAUAUUCCAAAAUAAUUUACUAGGGAAACUUGACAAUCACCAGCUCAUGUUGUCAUCUAUAUUUUUAAAAAUUUGUGUUAUGCACUGACCACCAACCGUCUAAAUUAUUGUUUUGUUCCAAUAAUGAGACAAGUAUGAUUUAUUUCUUGUCCUUUAGUAUUAAUAUAAACUAUGAUAGGAUAUUAAGACCCAUACAUUAAGAGAAAUAAUGGGUGACCAAAAAGUAUAGGGGCAACGGGGACCCCACAUGUUGAGUCUUUUGUGGAAAUUUGGGGGAACUAAAGCUUUUUCAAAAAAUUCUUAUUAAAAGGGGGUAAAACGUUCUGUGUCUAGAAGGGAAACUGUUAAUAAAAGGUUUGUUAAUGUAACAAUAAUUAUACUAUUUAUGAUUUCAGACACACUAAAUAAUGUCACUGGAGACAAGACGUAGCCCCAUUUUCCAUCUUGUAGUCCCAGUCUCAACCUCUGGUUUAUUCUCCUGAGAAUCAAUAAUGAUACAGAAGCAGAGCUGGGGAGUGGAACUGAAAUUUCUCAAUUUGGGACACAAUCUUGCUCUCAGUUAUUGAUACAGAAGUUGACACAUAAAAAGUGAAGGGUAAUUCAAACCAACAUUAUCAUAUCUGCUAAAACUUCUAAGUGUCCAAUUCUUGAUUGUGAAAAUCAUGUAUUUGCACCAGUCCAUAGACUCACCAAAAUGGCCCCUCCACUGAUAAACAAAAAAAUAAAUAAAAAGUGCAGGUA